GAUGAACGCUGGCGGCGUGCCUAAUACAUGCAAGUCGAGCGAACAGACGAGGAGCUUGCUCCUCUGACGUUAGCGGCGGACGGGUGAGUAACACGUGGAUAACCUACCUAUAAGACUGGGAUAACUUCGGGAAACCGGAGCUAAUACCGGAUAAUAUAUUGAACCGCAUGGUUCAAUAGUGAAAGACGGUUUUGCUGUCACUUAUAGAUGGAUCCGCGCCGCAUUAGCUAGUUGGUAAGGUAACGGCUUACCAAGGCAACGAUGCGUAGCCGACCUGAGAGGGUGAACGGCCACACUGGAACUGAGAAACGGUCCAGACUCCUACGGGAGGCAGCAGUAGGGAAUCUUCCGCAAUGGGCGAAAGCCUGACGGAGCAACGCCGCGUGAGUGAUGAAGGUCUUCGGAUCGUAAAACUCUGUUAUUAGGGAAGAACAAAUGUGUAAGUAACUAUGCACGUCUUGACGGUACCUAAUCAGAAAGCCACGGCUAACUACGUG
rnacentral:rRNA from 1 species